rnacentral:rRNA from 1 species
UAUACGACCGUACCGCAAACCGACACUGGUGCGCGAGAUGAGUAUUCUAAGGCGCUUGAGAGAACUCAGGAGAAGGAACUCGGCAAAUUGACACCGUAACUUCGGAAGAAGGUGUGCCCUAUUAGUGUGUAGUGAACAACGAAGCAUGAAUGGGUUGCAAAAAAUCGGUGGCUGCGACUGUUUAUUAAAAACACAGCACUCUGCAAACACGAAAGUGGACGUAUAGGGUGUGACGCCUGCCCGGUGCUGGAAGAUCAAAUGAUGGGGUGCAAGCUCUUGAUUGAAGUCCCAGUAAACGGCGGCCGUAACGAUAACGGUCCUAAGGUAGCGAAAUUCCUUGUCGGGUAAGUUCCGACCUGCACGAAUGGCGUAACGAUGGCCACACUGUCUCCUCCUGAGACUCAGCGAAGUUGAAAUGUUUGUGGUGAUGCAAUCUCCCCGCGGAAAGACGGAAAGACCCCAUGAACCUUUACUGUAGCUUUGUAUUGGACUUUGAACAGAUCUGUGUAGGAUAGGUGGGAGGCUUUGAAGCAGGGUCGCUAGAUCUUGUGGAGCCAACGUUGAAAUACCACCCUGGUGUGUUUGAGGUUCUAACCUAGGUCCAUUAUCUGGAUCGGGGACAGUGCAUGGUAGGCAGUUUGACUGGGGCGGUCUCCUCCCAAAGCGUAACGGAGGAGUUCGAAGGUACGCUAGUUACGGUCGGACAUCGUGACGAUAGUGCAAUGGCAUAAGCGUGCUUAACUGCGAGACUGACAAGUCGAGCAGAUGCGAAAGCAGGACAUAGUGAUCCGGUGGUUCUGUAUGGAAGGGCCAUCGCUCAACGGAUAAAAGGUACUCUGGGGAUAACAGGCUGAUACCGCCCAAGAGUUCAUAUCGACGGCGGUGUUUGGCACCUCGAUGUCGGCUCAUCUCAUCCUGGGGCUGUAGCCGGUCCCAAGGGUAUGGCUGUUCGCCAUUUAAAGAGGUACGUGAGCUGGGUUUAAAACGUCGUGAGACAGUUUGGUCCCUAUCUUCCGUGGGCGCUGCAGAUUUGAGGAAGCCUGCUCCUAGUACGAGAGGACCGGAGUGGACACACCUCUGGUGUAUCGGUUGUCACGCCAGUGGCAUUGCCGAGUAGCUAAGUGUGGAAGAGAUAACCGCUGAAAGCAUCUAAGCGGGAAACUCGUUUCAAGAUGAGAUCUGCCGGGGCCUUGAGCCCCCUAAAGAGUCGUUCAAGACCAGGACGUUGAUAGGUCAGGUGUGGAAGC